rnacentral:rRNA from 1 species
UACGGAGGGAGCUAGCGUUAUCCGGAAUUACUGGGCGUAAAGCGCACGUAGGCGGCUUUGUAAGUUAGAGGUGAAAGUCUGCAGCUCAACUGCAGAAUUGCAUUUAAGACUGCAUCGCUCGAAUCCGGGAGGGGUGAGUGGAAUUCCGGGUGUAGAGGUGAAAUUCGUAGAUAUUCGGAAGAACACCAGUGGCGAAGGCGGCUCACUGGACCGGCAUUGACGCUGAGGUGCGAAAGCGUGGGGAGCAAACAGG